CGGGUCAGGGCCUCUCUGCCUCAAAUACCAGGCUAUGCCUAAGUACCUGUGUGCUGCAGUUUUAUUGAGAUAUGAUUCACAUACAACAAAAUUUGCCACUUAAAGUGUCAAUUCAAUGGUUUUAGCAUAUUCCCAGAGUUGGGCAACCAUCACGAUAGCCAACUUUAGGACACCUUCAUCUCCCCGAAAGAAACGCCAUACCCGUCAGCAACCACUCCCCAUCUCCGUCCUGGACCCUGGCAGCCACGGGCCUUCAUUCAGCCUCUGUGACCUUGCCUGUUCCGGAAGUUUCACAUCACUGGGCUCCGACAGGGCAGACUUUGGUGACUGGCUUCUUUCACUCGGCGUCAUGUUUCCGAGGUUCAUCCGUGUUGCCGGUUCAUCAGAAUGCCAUUCCUUUUUAAGGCUGAAUAAUAUUCCAGGCAUGGCUGUAUAUGAAGGUUGUUUUUCCGUGGGACUGCUGACGGACACGUGGGCUCUUUCCACUUUCUGGCUGUUGGGAACGGUGCUGCUAAGAACAGGCGUGUACAAGACUGGCGGAUCUUCAUUGCUAUUAGCAUCCUUUAAGUCAGCUCAAAAGGAGAUCAGAUAAAAAGAAAACAAAUGAACCUGAGUGGCCUCUGUGUGGGUGUUUUGAUCGCCCUUCUUGACAGUGACUGUCUCUGUCAUUUUUUCUGGCUGCUUCCAUUUCGUAUUUUGGGAAUUCUCUAUUUGCGGACUUUGCCCAUCUUCCUGUGGACUGUGCAUCUAUCACAAGGUUAUGAGACACGGUCGCCAGCCGUGAUCCACCUCCUGCUCCCCACCCUGUGAUCUGCCUCCUAGCAUCAUGCAUGUGACUGGACUGUCCUACGUUUGAGGUUCUGAGGUCAGUCGGGGAGGAGAUC
rnacentral:lncRNA from 1 species